rnacentral:rRNA from 1 species
GUAGUCAUAUGCUUGUCUCAAAGAUUAAGCCAUGCAUGUCUAAGUAUAAACACGUUAUACUGUGAAACUGCGAAUGGCUCAUUAAAUCAGUUAUAGUUUAUUUGAUGGUUUUUGCUACAUGGAUAACUGUGGUAAUUCUAGAGCUAAUACAUGCGUAUAAGCCCCGACUUCUGGAAGGGGUGUAUUUAUUAGAUAAAAAUCAACACUGUUGGUGAAUCAUGAUAACUUCUCGGAUCGCAUGGCCUCGUGCUGGCGAUACUUCAUUCAAAUAUCUGCCCUAUCAACUGUCGAUGGUAGGAUAGAGGCCUACCAUGGUUGCAACGGGUAACGGGGAAUG